UUGAAACACCGGUUCUCGUUCGAUCACCAAAGUUAACCAACGUCGAAACUGGUCAGUAACAAGAUGGGUGACCGCUCGGGAAAUUCAGGUGUUGUAAG